rnacentral:rRNA from 1 species
UGGGGGAUAUUGCACAAUGGGGGAAACCCUGAUGCAGCAACGCCGCGUGGGUGAAGGAGCGUUUCGGCGCGUAAAGCCCUGUCAGCGGGGAAGAAGAAAGACGGUACCCGACCAAGAAGCCCCGGCUAACUACGUGCCAGCAGCCGCGGUAAUACGUAGGGGGCGAGCGUUAUCCGGAAUUACUGGGUGUAAAGGGAGCGUAGACGGUGAGGUAAGCCUGAAGUGGAAGCCCGCGGCCCAACCGCGGAACUGCUUUGGGAACUGUUUUGCUGGAGUAUGGGAGGGGUAAGCGGAAUUCCUGGU